CAGAACCGGAGGUAAGGGGCAGAGUUAUUGACAACGAGAUAAGCAUGGCGGAGAGCACGAUGAGUUGUAAUGUUUUUUGCUAUUAUAUGUAUUACAUUCCAAACAUACAGAGAUGGUGGACUCUUAUUCUUCUGGAGAAAUUUGGGUGCAGAAACCCUACAAGACGCCCUUCCAAGUAGAGAACAAGCUAUGCUUAGCAACAAUGAGGAACUCCCAGUAAUCCAACAGAAGCUGUGAAAUGGCUCCAUUCCAACAGACAUCUGCUCAGGGGGCCAGUGGAAGAACCUCUUUUCUUUAUAAUGGAUGAAGAAGACAACGAAAAGGCCCUCAGCAAUCUCCUGGAACAAUCAGAAACUUCCGGAGUGUCCUUCAAAUUUCAUUUUGUGUUCAGGGAUGAUGUGGAGUUAUUGGAUAAACUUCAAUUUAAUUUAAUUAAUUUUAAUUUGACCCUCUAGCACUCCCUAUUCUAAUUCUAUUCUUUAAAAAACUUGAACCAUUAAGACUCGCACUCCAUUCUUUUCUUGAAAAAAAAAAA